rnacentral:rRNA from 1 species
GAUGAACGCUAGCGGCAGGCUUAAUACAUGCAAGUCGUGGGGCAGCAGGGGUGUAGCAAUACAUCUGCUGGCGACCGGCAAACGGGUGCGUAACACGUACGCAACCUUCCCGUUACUGUGGCAUAGCCCAGGGAAACUUGGAUUAAUACCACAUAUUAUAUAGAGAGGGCAUCCUUUUUAGAUCAAAGCUUCGGCGGUAACGGAUGGGCGUGCGGUUGAUUAGGUAGUUGGCGGGGUAACGGCCCACCAAGCCUACGAUCAAUAGCUGAUGUGAGAGCAUGAUCAGCCACACGGGCACUGAGACACGGGCCCGACUCCUACGGGAGGCAGCAGUAAGGAAUAUUGGGCAAUGGACGAAAGUCUGACCCAGCCAUGCCGCGUGAAGGAUUAAGGUCCUCUGGAUUGUAAACUUCUUUUCUCUGGGGCGAAAACCAGCUAUUCUUAGCUAUUUGACUGUACCAGAGGAAUAAGCACCGGCUAACUCCGUGCCAGCCGCCGCCGUAAAAC